rnacentral:lncRNA from 1 species
GGAAUUCCUCAUAUCCAAGGCAGCUCCCCACAAACACCCCACCCAUAUGACUAUGCCCCCUUUUGAAUCGACAGUAGAUUGGGCUUCAUAGCUACUUUCAUUCUAAAGACGAAUAUUAGUCAAUAGGCAGGCUUCUUUCAGUAGAAAACAUAUUCAUUUUCACCGGGCUCCGCGCACCUUUGGUACUUCUGGAGGGCAAGCAGUUUUAUAGUGACUUCUUUCUUAGGGUAGGGCGACGAAUACUUCCAAUUCCGGAAAGGUCAUUGGGUCGCCUUUGGAAGCUAAAGCGAAAGUUGUAGAAAGCCGGGAGAAAAAGUGAAAGCAUGCUCGAAACGGCCUAUACCCUAACCCUCGGAAGCGAAGACACAAAGCGUCACUUUUUUCAAAAGGAAGGAGUUUUUUCUGACUGAAUCCAUCCAUAAAGCCGCCAAGGAAACAAAGUUCGUUCCCUUUCAUCAAGUGAGUAAGGUAGGCAAACCACUUAAGCUUUGCCUUAGACUGACGGAACAAAGCUAAGAAGUAGGCUGAAUGGAAAAAGGAAAGGGACAAGGGCGGUCAUCGCUUGGCGCGAAGGCUGCUGGUUCGGUACAGUACUAAAGGUCCUCGGACUUCCAGGCGGUUUUUCUUUUGGGCUGCUGUGAACCCUUGGAUCUCGCCAAUACAGCCUCUUAUGGUUUUCGUUACCGAGAUAUAUUUUCUUUUUUCCCAGGGAUUUUUUGGGUAAUCAGCUCCCAUGCUGCAAACAGUUAAAUCUGAACCUUGUCGCUCUUCUUUCCUCGUGGGCAGGAAGCACACCAGCAGCGUGCGUUGCGUGAUUCCACUGUGUUUUUUGCACUUGACUGGGUGGACAGUUGGCCGUAAGAUAACUUCGAUUCGCCCGGCCAGCAGGCGGGCGGCGUGCUUAUCUUGUGUGACAACACUACAGAGCGAGUAGCUCUUCUAGUCGGGCAGCUGUGUGACAACACUCCUGAGAAAGCGGCGCUUUUGUGUAACAUGCUAUGGUCUCAACGCCCUUACGAGGUAGUGAUGGGUUUCACGCGCUCUAAGCCCGGCCCGCGCGCAGUUUGGAGGAUUGGCCGCUAUCUGAGCGGUACCACCCACCCUACCCUACUACCUAUAGGGGGUCGUCCGUCCUACAACCGCCCGAAAAGGAACUGCAGUAAUCUUGAAUAGGAAUCCUACAGCGAUAAAAAGAAUCCCCAUAAAAAUACCACUAGAUCGAGCACCAGUGAUUUCGUAUCCGGUCAAAAUCUUGGCUAAUUGAUCGAAGUGGGUAGCUCCAGUAGACCCAUAGAUCAUGGAACAAAUAGGGUGGGUAGGCCCAACCACCACACUACACGUAUAGACGCGAACCCCCCUCCUUACCGUACGUGCGACUCUCACUGCAUACGGCUCGCACAAAGACUCCAAAAUCCAUCCCGAGCUUUUUAUUCCACCUCUCCCUCCUCUCCAAUCCUCGAUCAAACUAGCCUUCCCCAGCAAAAAAACGUAUCCGCUUUAGCAACAAAGCGCUCAUCCCUUGCUUGUUCUUGAGCGCGCAAGGCGCUCAAGACGGUGAUUCUUGCUUAAAAAAGGGCUAAAGCACUCCAGCUUCGAAGUUGGAGUUUGCAACUUCAAAACUACAGGUUUUAGCCCUCCUGUUGGGUGGGCGCUUCCUUCGUCUAUCGUAUGUCUCGCUUGGCUUCGUCCCGAACCAAGGAGGCAUGAUGGCGGGCGCGUGCGUGUGCCGACUGCAGAGACUACAAGCCGAUGCCGGAAGCGACUCGCUUCUAUUCUCGAUUGGAUAUAGAUGGGGAAUCUCUAUAGAUCGUCUUUUUUCGACAAUCUCUCUAAAAACCAUACGAGAAAAUUGCACUUCACGGCACGGCAAAAAAAAGAGCUUCGCUCGGUUGGCCCUCCUAGGCUUCCGCCUACUUUCUCUUCUCUUAAGUCUACAACAAGUGGGAGAGGCAGGAUUCGAACCUACGUAGAAAACCUUCAACAGAUUUACAGUCUGUCGCUUUUGACCGCUCGGCCACUCUCCCCUUCCCGGGGAUACGCCCUCCUCAAACAAAGGGUUCCUGAAUAAGAAGGAUGGCGGCCUUCGUUCUUAAGUUAAGAAGAGCAGAUGGAACUAUUAGAUUUGCUAGCGUUCCGGGAGAAUAAAUAAGGUCAUUUAGUAAGUUCAUAACAAUUUAUGUAAAGCAAGGGGAAAAGCUUCUACGACAGCUUCCCCCUCAUUGCCAUCGUCGGCCUUCCCCAGCUCCCCUCCUUCGUCGCUUCUGGCUAAGCAUCUUUCGGCGGAGGAAAGGAGGCGACUAGUCGCUUCUGGCGAAGCAGCGAGUUCAAGAGCAAGUGAAUGAACGAGCAGCGAGUGAAGUGCAACAGUCGUAAGUAAGGCUCGCCAUGUUCCUAAAAGGAGUGACCAUCUUUUCUUCCCUUCUACUGACACUGAGCGAGCAGCAAGCAUAGGCAAUAGUUUCCGUAGGGGUGGGGCGCAAGCAAGCGUUUUCAGGCUCCGCUAGCUAGCGUACUCUUCUGCUAUCAAUGAAACCGAAAUAAAAAACCAGUGCCCUUUUGUAUAGAUCGAGACGCAGUACUUUUUCUUUACUUCUUCCAUACUAGGAAGAAUGGAAGGAAAUCCUUCGAUAACACUUUUUCCUUAUUUGAAGAAAUGAUAUCCGACGCCCGUGGAAACUCUUUAAUUUCAAAAAAGUUCUUCUUCUUAAGAAGCAAAUAGCAUUUCUUAUUGAUUUGUCUCCUGGACUAGACCUAUGUAGAUUCGGAAUUAUCCGUUGCUACGCUGUUCCCAAGGACUAGCAAAAUCGAAAUAGCGAAAUUCUUGGGUCAUCUCAAUGGGUUCAAAAACCACAUGUUUCUCUGGAUCAUCAUAGCGUACUUCCACAUAUCCACUCAGAGGAAAGUCUUUUCGUAAUGGAUGACCCUCGAAACCAUAAUCUGUUGAUAUACGGCGUAAAUCCGGAUGAUUGAUGGAAGAAACACCAGACAUAUCCCAUACUUCUCGCUCCCACCGGCCGGCUGAUGGAAAUAGACUGACUACCGGAGAUAUUCGUGUUACUUCGUCUGCACUUGUUUGUACACGAAUGCGUGAGUUAUACCGAGUACUCAGUAAAUUAUGGACAACUUCAAAUCUUUGUUUUCGAGAGGGAUGAUCCACUCCGCAAAUAUCGAUCAAAACUUGAACCCUUGUAUAGGUAUGCCAUUUUAGAAAGCACAACAAUGGAAAUGGGUAGUCAGUAUUGGUAUAAGAUCUAUUCCCAUGUUCCGAUCUUUUCAUUUUAUGUACCUAUUUCUUGGGUAAAAUCUCCCAACUAUAUUGGAAAAUGGAUUGGUUAUCCAUAAAUGAAAAUAAAGAAAGCUUUAUUUUGGUUCCGCUUCUUGCUCUAAGAAGAAAGACUUGUCGGAAAUCGCCGGUUGGGUUGGUCCGACCAAGAAAGGCAUGGGAGUGGAGAGGCAGAAGUGAAAGACUGGCUACCAAUAAAGAUCCAAAACUGCACACUUUAUAUAGUUAUGUAUCCAGGAUCGGCUGCAUGCUCUAGUGUUGAAUCGGGUAUAGAACCCAGGAUGCUUGGUUACAAUUCCGAAUCCGCUAAACCAUCGCUCGGGGAAAAGUAUUAUACAGAGCAUUAGUACUUAUUCUGAUCCUUUCCUUAUAUUUAGAUUCUAGUAGUUUAUUUCAGUCGUAUUCGUAUCCUUACUGCGGUUUAGUAAGGGUAACAAAUAAAAGUAUGCAGGUUCUAUUUUAUUGUUCCGAGACAUAUGAUGAUAGCAUUGAGAAUGAGAAAUAUUUGCAAAAUGCACGUAUUAUUAAGGAGUUCUGGAACGAUUACUAUGCUAAGCUGUUGGAUAUUGACAAAACGAAAAAGACUUCUAAUGUUGAUAUGUAUCAGGAUGAUGUAUAGGCUUGAUCGAGUGCCUUACCUGAAAUCGACGAUAUAAAGUGGGCUCUUUAGCUUGCUCCGACAGAGGUCUCCUUCUCCCUUAGCAGCGAGACCAGUCCCUACCUCUUUUCAAUCAAUCUUUCAUACCGUAUGCCUUUUCUACGCCUAAAACAAGUUCAUGUCUCUCCUCUCUGAAGUCGGACCUUAUUGAAAAGUAGUACGCUUUCUUUCGUGGUGUUCAGGAUCCCAUGCUUUGUAGUUCACGCAUGGCUUUCUCUAACGAAGCUAAUGCCGAAUUAAAGACCUUAAACGGAAAGACACAGGAGGUGGCGAAAAUCGAAAAAAGAGAAAGAGCUUACAAACUUCUCUGAACCCGGUAGCCAGCGGAGCCCUUAUUCAUGGGUUAGGGACUAGCAUUGAACAAAGUUGGUGACAGCCGAAGAAAAAGUGAAAGGGCAAGUAAAUAAUCUAAACAUGCGGGUAAGUAGCAAAAAAAGAAUAAAAGUAACGUGCCCUACCUGUUAGUAAAGUAAGGCCUUCCAGAGCCUAUCUAACACAGACAUACACGCGGAUGAGGACACAGAAAUAAAUGGACGUCGAUCCGGUACUGAAAUUGCAUAGCAAAAAAUGCAAUAUGUUCAUACUUGAUGAAACGCACAUCAUCCAAUUCAUGAUUUAAGAACAAGAGAACGAGAUAUUGACUUUUUUUACAUCUGUAACUACAUUCUCACAUUUCUUUUUUGAUCUCAUGACUUUUUAUGCGAUCAGAAAACGAAUGAGAUCAGAAAGAUAGGCGGACGACUUGACCAUAAGGUCGGAUGUUUCCGUGAGCAGUAAGCAGCGGAUCUCCCCUUUUGGGGGGAAAGCUGGUGGCCCUUUUGGCGUGUUAAUUCUUUCGACGGGGCGGCCUUCUUCGUUCGGUAGAUCCGGUCGAGGUGGUUUUCGUUUACCAGCGCGUAGGUGGUCUAAGUUCCUAUGACCGAGUCUUUCUGGCCCCUGUGAACAUAUUUUCUUAAUGUAUUAAAGAGGGCGUCUCUAACCGGUGAAAAGUGGUAGGUGUCCACUAACGGCUAUUCUUGGCUCGGCUCCGAUAACGCAAUUCCGGGAGGAGUCGGUAGUUGGGCACUGGAUCCCUUCGGACCUGGAGAACGUGUGACACUGGGUCGGGGUUUGGUGAACCAACAGGUCGCUCCUUUAGUUGAAGUAUCAGGCCCCUUUUUCGUUGCCUAGGUUACACCUUCGGAAUACCCCAGACGGGGAUUUCGCUCUAUUCCCCCCAAUCUUCACUUUACGCCAUGCCGACUCUCAUCGUGGAAUUAGACCAAGGGUCGAAGACCCAUACCAUAGGACCCCGUCUCCCGUAUCUUAUCUUUCGCACAUAGGAGAUCGAGACACAGCCUUAGGGCUAUGGGGAAAGUGGAUCGAUUGCCCUAGAAUUACAACUACGUAGAGGGUCUCUACAAGUCUAUAAAUAAGUUCCAAAAAAUUGAUCGGUAGUAGUCCGGUCGCACCCGAACAAUAAUACCAGAGGGAAAUGCACCUAAGAUCAAAUAUUUUGAGCCGGCUUCCGUGGAAAAUUCAGACUUUCUUUUUGAUGAUGCGAUCACAUAAAAACAUAAACUUUGAAGCUCAAUAGCUAAAUACAUGGCAAUUAAAUCAUGAGCCGGGAUCAUUAAGAGCAUACUGCGAGUAGGAAGUGGAAUUAAUACAAUGAAUUCAGAAGCAUCAAACCUCUCUUUUUCGAAAAAAUCGAAACACAUCGAAAUGGUACCAGCCGUACUUAAUAAUAGAAGGAUUUGGCACAAAUAUGUAAAAUUGUCCCUCCUAAAAAAAUUAUUCCAGAAUAAAUGGGCAAUAGUUAGGAGAGGUGCGCCAGCGGCGAGCAGAAGCAAGGUUAUUAGAUACCGAAGGAAAGCCCGGCCAGAACCACACAUGCAAGUUUCCCUGCAUGUGGCUCGUCCGUGAUAACUUCUUCAGAUUUGCGUGAACUAGCGGACCGAUCACUAAGUGGUUAGUACCUCCAGCAUGAGCGAACCUUUUCAGAACUGGUUAGGAAUGGGCACCACUAUCCCAGCCCGGAUCCAGCCAGGUUCUAUUGAUCAUGUCCCCUUCCCAAUAGUUGUAUCUUGUCUUGGGGCGUCUUUCUUUGGCUUUACUAUCAAGCCAGACGCGGCGCCCUUUUGCAUUAUCAUCUACCGCCCUUUCUUUCCUCCCGUCCCUUCACGCAUGAAGAUCGUCGUAUGUAUGUUCGACUUUGGUUGCCGGUGCAAUAGAAUUGGCGGGAGUAUAUUAUGGCAGGAUCAGUCACCUGGGCAAACCAAAACCCUCCUCCAAGAAGAAUUGUGCUAUGCGCCCCCCCCGAUAUCCCUAUAGAGCGAAAGAGCUGCCUGGUGAUCCCUAGGUUGCAGCACGUCCGGUCGUUAACUCCUCGCUAGCUGCCACCGUUUCUAGGACCGACCGACGCCUCACCUGCAUGCACAGGUACCUACGUAGUGUAGUGUCGGUCGCACAUUCAUAAUAGCGUUCGGACUCAUGUGCCUUCCUGAACCAGGGGAAUUCCCUUGCUCCUGCUGCGUACGAUUAGCCGGCCUUGCGGCGGCAAAAGGAUUAGGACGUCCCCCCAUGCUAAGGUUCCCUGCGGUCCGGCCGCAUUAGGUUAGGGAGCUGGGCGAUAAUAGCUCCUCCGCAUCCCAAGCGCGCUGCCCUCCUAGGCGCGCAACACUAAGUAAUCCAAGCCAACCCACAUUACUAACUAACGGUGGAUAAUCAUCUUUCUUAGAGGUACUAAAUACAACUCCAUGAAUGAGCAAAAUGAAGGUUGCGUUAAUGAUAAAGAUCUCUGGGGAAACCGCUAAAAAAAGAUUGAACAUGUGGUUCCGAGUUUCGAUAACUUCUUCUACUUUCAUUUCCUCCGUCUUCCAAAUCGCAGAGUUAAUUCAAAAGCCUAGGUGUUAUUACUGAGCUGGUGCUCUUUUUUCUCUAAUUCCCUUCUCAGAUCCUCCGACUACUCCUCCUUAUCCUACUCACUCGAAGUUUCGUUGGUCAUUUAUUGUUUUUUUAGCCUCUUUGACAAAGUUAGUAAGAAGAAAAACCUCGAUCUUCAGUACACUUCACACCCACACAAUCUCUAUUUGAAACUAACAUUCCAUUUCCAGAUAACGAGCGAUCGCUCAGCAAUGAUACCGCGCCGGACGAAGUACCUAUCCCCGGGGACCACACUUUUUUACUUGUUUCCUUUUUUUCUUUCUAUACGAAAUUCAAACGAUUUCGUUUGUGUUCAUGUUGGCGAUUUCAGAUGUGAAUGAGGACGGUCGUCUCCCCUUCCUACGGGUUCCCCAGUGACACAUCAACCACGCCCCUUCCUUUUCUCCGAUCAUAAAUAACCCGAUCUCUUUCUUUCUAAUUCAUCCCCUUCUUUCUAAUUCAAAAAAGAAAGGGGGGGGGGGGCGUAAGGCAGGCUCGCAACUUACAAAGGGCACUCGCUGCUCGCAGGCCUGCUCUUUCUAUUAUGAUUUCUAUGUCUAUGAAAGCUCCUUUGACUCCAGCCCCAUAAGCUAUUCUUUCACCUGCACCAGCUCUUGGUCUUUGUCCAGGACAAAGAUAUCGCAAUAGUGGAAUAAGGAAGUGCAAGUUGGCGAUCGAAGCAAAGGAAAGAUCAAGCCGAAGAGGAUACCUAGGGCCAUCUAAGACGGCUGUAGUAAAUAGCUUACACGACUGAUCAGGCUCAUCAACCUAUGGAACCUCACGCUAUGUUGCUAUGAUUCUUUUAUCACAAAAGCAUGUCGGGCGAAGGAAUAAAACGCGUAAAACACUAGCAAGAAGAGACUUGCCAAAGAAUUCGAUGCCUCACAGGAUCCUGCAAAAGCGGAGUCCAAAAAAGCACGAGUCGGGUCGGCGGUUUCAGAUUCAGAUAGUUCAGUUCAAUCAUCAUCUGACACCUUUCGGUGCCAUUCCUUUUGAAACUGGCGUUUCUUUUGUCAAAGAAUUCGAUGCCCCUGCGAAAAACCGAGUCAAGAAAGAGGUAAGGGCCGGGUCAGAGGCGGAAUAGACAUUCAAAGCAACCGAACCAUAGAUCCAGCUUUGCAGGACAAGCAUAACGAAAGUGAGCAUUUGGCCAGACAUUCAAAUAAACCCUAUAUCUAGAAAUUCAUCAUCCCUGUUUGAACGGUCUAAGCAUCAUAUCUUUUUCUUUUCACUUCCGCUGCAUCGUCCGGACAUCAGAAAUAGCUGCAUUAGCAGCAUCUCGCUACAACUCCCUUGGCAACCCUAGCACCAACAGGAACAACUCAGUUCAAGCUAGCAACAACUAACAAUUUCUACUUCCUCGAACAAGAGCUUGCUUUUAGUUCACGUUAGCUACAUCCGUUUUAAUAGAAAGAUGGGAAAGGCUAGGUUAGCAGAAGACUAUGCUUGUGCCACAAACUUAUUGCUUCAGAGAAGCAUUUCUUCAAUGAAUCUUACUCAGUACAGUAUUCAUAAGGGACCUGUAUCUAAAUAUUCUAUUCUAACAUUCCUAUUUUGGUUGGAAGUUUCUCAAAUGAAAGAGCACAACCCUUUCCGUCACUUCUCUACAUACUGGCAUUCGGAGCUAGGAGCAGAGAAGAGAAGUCAAUCGGAAGAAUCGUAAAAGCCUGGAGCUCAAACAUUGCGUUCUACACUUUACUUUUGUUUUGUAUCUCUGAAACAGGAGUGAAAAGAAAUCAGCUCAUCCACCGCUAACUAAACAGGGCGAAACUAGCUCUUCUUUGGUUUCCCUGGGUCCAAGUUGGGGCAAAACCUGCUCUUUUCCCGCAAAAAGUCUAUCGUACUAGGUGGCGCGACACGCGACAUAGGUAGUAAAGUAGUGAUUUUGGGCCCAAUUCAUACUUCUUUUUUGAUUGGAAUUCUUAUCCUAGCUCGGCCUACUCGCGAGAUGUUAGCCUUCAGCCUGAUUACAUAAAGCAUAGCACUUCUGAUCGAUUUGAAUAUUCCAUUCCCUAUUUCCUUGAGCGCUUUCACCAUUAACCCAUGGGUGCCAAGACCAUCCCCCGGCUCUUUCUUCUUCUACUUCAUAUAAUAGAACACAAGGAUCGAACCUACUUCGCUUUAAGUCUGUUUACUUUUUAACGCCGUCUACGGAGAGACAAGAUGAGAGAGGAGAGAGGAAGCUGAACGACAAGAGCUGACGAAGUCCAAUCAAGCUGAGGCCUGGAAAGAGUUAAGAAAAAACACCUUCUACCUGCAUUGAUGGGUGCUCAACGAUAGAUUCCACAUCAAGAUAGGCAAAGAGGGAUACAUCUCGUUUAUUACCUCAAAGAAAACAAGAAACAUGUCUUUUCUAAUCACGAAACACAAGAAUAGCAUGCAUGGGAGAAGGAUUUAGGGAAAGGUACACACUGCUUUUUCGGAGUCUAUAGGGGAAAGGUACACGAUGAUUUUUCGGAGUCUAUAGGGGAAGAUUCCACCAGCCCCAAUUGCUUUGGAUGAGAGAUCGAACCUCCACUCGUUUCUGGUUUCUGCUUUCUCCCUAGGGAAAGAAGAUAUGAUACUUUUCGAAGAAUGCAAUCCCCGCAUUCCGGCCCUGCUCUGCAAAUCAACAUCUGAAGAUCUACGGGUCACCAUAGUCUUCUAAUCCACUAAUAAGAUUCCGCGCUCGAGAUGAUGUGAUCUGAACGAAAAGAUAGAUACAUCCGAGCUGCCCAAGGAUAUGGUCUGGGUACCGAUCUGCUAGGAUAAGGGCUGUAUCACAUCGAGAUGUCGAUUCGUUUUCCACCCCAAAUGAGCCCUAUAAAAAUCUAGUUGGAGAGUUCCGUGAUCCAGUGUGGGCUCUACCGGAACAGAGGAAUUGGCUCGCUCCUUCGCUCGCUGGGUAAGCAUAGAAUGCACACCAGUCUGGUAUCAAAGCGUAUAUACUUGAAAAGGAGACUACUUGAACAGAUGAAAUGGAAGGAAGAAAUGAAAGUUCGAUCUACCAACGUAGAGUCUGCCCCUCCCAGGAAGAAGAAAUUUGCUACUUUGGCUCAUCAGUUGGUAAGUCUGUCUAUGAAGUUCAGUGCCCAGAAAAGAGAAAAAAAGACCAAAACAAGCUUUUUCAAGCUCUACAAGUCCUAUAUAUAUAGUGUUCCACUAGAUAGCCGUGU